rnacentral:lncRNA from 1 species
GACCAUCCCAAAAGAAACUGUACGCCGUUUGCUUCCCUUUGGAAAAUAAAUAAAUGAAACAAGUCAUAAAAAUCCUUGAUCUAGACUGGCUAUCUUUCAAUUUAAUGUCACCGGUCUCACGCAGUGUUUUUGUAUAGGUAUUAUAUGUUUUAUUUGAUUCCGAAAUUUCGGGGCCUUUGUUUCAUGAUAUUCAGAUGAAGGAAAAUGGAGAGAAGACUGAUACUAAAAAGGAUGGACUAUAUGUGAUACAGA